rfam:Dipodomys ordii contig_9768, whole genome shotgun sequence.
GGUGGCUCAGUGGUAGAGCACUUGCCUUGCAUGCAUGAGGCCCUGGGUUUGAUUCCCCAGCACCA